UAAAGAAAGUAAGAAAGGGCGUAUGGCGGAUGCCUAGGCUCACGGAGGCGAUGAAGGACGUGAUAAGCUGCGAUAAGCUUCGGGUAGGUGCAAAUAACCCUUGAUCCGAAGAUUUCCGAAUGGGACAACCUAGCCGUCUGAAGGACGGUUACUCAAUCUUCAAGAUUGAGAGCUAACGCAGGGAACUGAAACAUCUUAGUACCUGUAGGAAGAGAAAAUAAAUUAAUGAUUCCCCUAGUAGUGGCGAGCGAACGGGGAACAGCCCAAACCAGUGGCGUCGCAAGGCGUGGCUGGGGUUGUAGGACCGCGACAUUGUAUUGAAAUGGUGAGUGGAAGUAUCUGGAAAGUUACAUCACAGAAGGUGAUAAUCCUGUACACGAAGCCAAAUCAGGCAUAGCGGUAUCCUGAGUAACGCGGGACACGAGGAAUCCUGCGCGAAUCUGCCGGGACCAUCCGGUAAGGCUAAAUACUCCCGUGAGACCGAUAGCGAACGAGUACUGUGAAGGAAAGGUGAAAAGAACCCCGAGCAGGGGAGUGAAAUAGUUCCUGAAACCAUGCGCCUACAAGCGGUCGGAGCACAGCAAUGUGUGACGGCGUGCCUUUUGCAUAAUGAUCCUACGAGUUACCGUCACUGGCGAGGUUGAGUACCAUGAGGUACGUAGCCGCAGUGAAAGCGAGCCUGAAUAGGGCGCACAGUCAGUGGGGGUAGACGCGAAACCAA
rnacentral:rRNA from 1 species